rnacentral:rRNA from 1 species
GCACGAAGUUAGCCGGGGCUUCUUCUGCGGGUACCGUCAUUAUCGUCCCCGCCGAAAGAGCUUUACAACCCUAGGGCCUUCAUCACUCACGCGGCAUGGCUGGAUCAGGGUUGCCCCCAUUGUCCAAUAUUCCCCA